GGAUCAUAAUUCAUGUUCUUCACAAUUUAGAAUUCACUGGUAAAUAAAAUUAAUGUAUAACAAAGUGAAAUGUAAAUAAAGUCAAAACUAGAAAACGAGGAUUCAGAGGGGAUGCGCGGGAUGCAGAAUUCGUGCACAAGGGCUGAUAGCACCAGAAAAUCUUCUUCCAGUGCACGACCUUCUAAAACGUUAUUUGUCAUUAAUACUAGGACCAGGGACAUUGAAAAAUAUUUUGAGCAUUAUGGGAAGAUAUCAGAAGGAACUUUGCGUUUGUGCAGUAUGAGCUGCAGGAAGAUGUAAGCCGAGCAUUAGAGGAGACUCACCUAAGGUCCGUAAUAAAUGGCUAUUGUCUAGUUGUUGUAGGUGUGUUACUAUGGUCCACUAAGCCAACUAAACAUACACAAAAGAGAAUGACACUUGUUUGAGGAGUUGAAUAAGGCUAUUUAAGCUACCGUAUAUUGAAACCCCAUAUCUUAGUUUCUUGAAGCUGAAUGGGAAAACUACCCUACCCUACCCUACUUUGCAGCAAGUUCAUGGAUCGAGUUGAAUAUGCAAUCCGGGACGAUGAUGACAAAAGAAAUGGGCACAGCCAUGAUGGAAGAGGACGUGACAAGUCCCUAUCAAAGAGAUAGGGGUAGCCCUGACUAUGGACAUGGAUCUGUACCAAAUUCUAGAUCAGAACCAAGGGGCAGUCCUCAAUAUGGCAGAGCAGAAAGCCCUGCCAAUGAUAGAUACAACAGGUCAUUAUUAUUCUUUAUUUCUAGCAUUUUUUACUCUCUACAUAGUUUCUGUGGAAUUUACUUAUAUGUAAACA